CCUCCGGGUGUCAUCAUUUUUUAAUAUUUCACAAUUUUUUAAACCCUUAUUCAUCUACUCCGCGUGAGCGAUGAAGUAUUUCGGUAUGUAAAGCUCUAUCAGCAGGGAAGAAAAUGACGGUACCUGACUAAGAAGCCCCGGCUAACUACGUGCCAGCAGCCGCGGUAAUACGUAGGGGGCAAGCGUUAUCCGGAUUUACUGGGUGUAAAGGGAGCGUAGACGGCUUGGCAAGCCAGAUGUGAAAGGCUGGGGCUCAACCCCAGGACUGCAUUUGGAACUGUCAUGCUAGAGUGUCGGAGAGGCAGGCGGAAUUCCUAGUGUAGCGGUGAAAUGCGUAGAUAUUAGGAGGAACACCAGUGGCGAAGGCGGCCUGCUGGACGAUGACUGACGUUGAGGCUCGAAAGCGUGGGGAGCAAACAGGAUUAGAUACCCGAGUAGUC
rnacentral:rRNA from 1 species